rnacentral:SRP_RNA from 1 species
UGCCGGUCCCUUCGCACCGCGAUGUUGUAAAUCCCGUCAGACCCGGAAGGGAGCAGCGGUAGCAGCGGAUGCGGGUGCCGGGGUGUGGCUGGCACCG